UACGUAGGGUGCAAGCGUUGUCCGGAAUUAUUGGGCGUAAAGAGCUCGUAGGCGGUUCGUCGCGUCGGCUGUGAAAACCCGGAGCUCAACUCCGGGCCUGCAGUCGAUACGGGCGGACUCGAGUUCGGCAGGGGAGACUGGAAUUCCUGGUGUAGCGGUGAAAUGCGCAGAUAUCAGGAGGAACACCAAUGGCGAAGGCAGAUCUCUGGGCCGUAACUGACGCUGAGGAGCGAAAGCAUGGGGAGCGAACAGG
rnacentral:rRNA from 1 species